rnacentral:rRNA from 1 species
CAGCCCCUCGAGUGGUGGGGAUGAAUAUUUGGCCUAAAGCGUCCGUAGCCGGCCGUGUAAGUCCCCCGUUAAAUCCAGCGUCUCAAGCGUUGGGCUGCGGGAGAUACUGCACGGCUAGAGAGUGGGAGAGGUGUACGGUAUUCUGGGGGUAGGGGCGAAAUCCUUUGAUCCCCGGAGGACCACCAGUGGCGAAGGCUGUACACUAGAACACGUCUGACGGUCAGGGACGAAAGCUGGGGUAGCGAACCGGAUUAGAUACCCGAGUAGUCC